AUGGAAGUCACGACUCACAGGUGGGAACCGUGGCUCUACAGCCUCACCCCCAGCAUGGUGACAGGUGGGAACCGUGGCUCUACAGGUUCACCCCAGCACAGUCACAGGUUCUGCAGGAGACAAGUACUGAUAACUUUAGACUGUCAAACUAGUAACUUGAGGCUGUUAGGACUUAUGACGAAUCUCAUCUUAAAGUACUUCUACUGAUAACACUUGA